rnacentral:snoRNA from 1 species
AACCCAUGAUGAGGGAAUCAUCUUAAUAGAUCAUUGUAUCUCUUUCAUGCAUCAGAUAAAGUCUCUAAAUCGAUCUGAACAAAAGAAGAGAUGUCAUUCCUCAACUU